UUGGAUCCUAGCUGGGGGGGGGGGGGGGUAAAAAUAAAGUGUUUCCACCUCCAGCCAAUCCCAGGGAAGACAGGAGGGCACUCCUCCAAUAGGACCCUGGAGCCGUCGGUAGCAGUGGCGGCCUGCGACCACCCCUAGCGCUUUGGCAGGCGGGAGGGACGCAUCCGGUGCAUUCGCGAGAUCCAGUUGCCGGUACCUGGAAUCUGCUUGCGCGAGGCAGUGGCGGCACCGACGGCCCGAGGUUUCCGGUCAGCAGGUUGCGGAGGAUCGUGCGGGUAGCAAAAGGAGGGCGAGUGCUCCUGCGGCCCCAAACAGCAACCAGAACAUGCAUCAUUGUUAGAACCAUCACCCUGCAGCUAGCUUGGACACCAUUAAAAGGGCUCAUCAGCUGCAAACGGAUAGAAGUAUCUGAUAUCUGAAGACAGUUUCAGGGCUUCUCCUUGGAGCUACAUUCUCCAGAAGCCCCUGCUUGACCUCCCUGCACCCAGCCCCACUCCAUCCAGUCACAACUUGGGUCGUGUGUGGUAUUUCUUGGCAACUGGAACAUAGACUUCUCCAGCAGCUCCACAGGCCCCUUGCCCUCAGUGAGCAGAAGACUACAGAAGCUGGCUACUGAAGAGGCCGUCCAAGUCUUAGAGCUCCUCAUUGGCCCUGCUUAGCACAGUGCUGUAACUGAGUGCUGGAUGUUAGUCGUUCAUGCUCACCACCUUUAGGGACUGCAAAGGGAUUUGUCAGACCCCAUUUCACUAAGGGCCACCCUCUAAGGAUCUCAACAGGAGGCUGUCCAUAGAGAGAAGUGGCCUGCCUGGGGUCUCCACUGCCUUAGGUCCUAUGUGGACACUCCAGAUCUAAGGGGAUUAGUAUUUUUUCACCUACCUGUCAUCCACUUAUCAACUGGGAAAUUUCGUCUCCUGUUAUUUUUUGUUCUUAUGUUUGUUUUUUAGUAGAAAGAAUUUUAUCUAUUGCUUCAAUUCCUUUAGUAGUUAGAGAACUAGUCAGGAUUUCUUUUUCAUCUUGAAUCUAUUCUACUAAGUUAUAGUUUUCUGGGAAUUGGUCCAUUUUUUCUGCCUUCUCAAGUUUAUUAGCAUUAAGUUUCCUUAUUUUUUUUUUAUUUUCUGCUGUAUACAAUCUGUAGUUAUGUCUCCUUUUUCAUUGCUAAUAUUGGUAAUUUGUGCCUUCUCACUUUUUUUCUUGAUCAAUCUCACCAGAGGUUUGUCUAUUUUAUUAGUCUUUUCAAAGAACCAGCUUUUGGCUUUGUUGCUCCUCUCUAUUUUGUCUUUGUUUUCUAUUUCUUUAAUUUCUGCUCUUAUCUUUUUUGAUCUCCUUCCUUCCACAUUUUUUGGAUUUAUUUUGUUGUUAUUUUUCUAAUUUCUUAAAUUUGACACUGAGCUCAUUAAUUUUCAGCCUUGCUUGUUUUCUUAUUUGCACAUUUAAGGACAUAACUUUCCCUCUAAUUACUGCUUUUCUACAAGUUCAGACAUGUUAUAUUUUGUUACUGUUUGGUUCCAAGUACUUUGGCAUUUCCAUCAUGGUUACUUUUUUGACUUGUGAGUUAUUUAGAAGUGUGUUUCUAAAUAUUUGGAGAUUUUAAAAUUUAUCUCUGUUACUGAAGUCUGUCUUAAUUGCAUUAUAGUCAGGAUGUGAUCUGUGUGAUUAAAAACAUAUUUAUUGAGACUUGUUUUAUGGCUUAGUAGUGAUCAAUAUUUUUGAAUGUUUCCUAUGUGCUUUAUAAGAAUGUAUGUUCUCUAAUUGUUGAAUACAGAGUUCUAUAUAAGUCUGUUAUCAAAUUUGUUCAUUGUAUUAUUCACAUUUUCUAUAUAUAAACUGAAUUUUUGGUCAUAAUAUACCAAUAAUUGUAAGGUGUAUUAAUAUGCAGUUAUGAUGGUGAUUUGUUUAUUUCUCCUUGUAGUUCUUUUUUUCUUUUAGUUAUUUUUGAGAGUAUUUUAUUAGGAAUAUUCAAAUUAAGAAUUGUUAUAUAUUCCUGGUAAGCAUGUAAUGACCCUCUCUAUUCCUGAUAAUGCAUUCUUCCUGUUUUAUCUCACAUUAAUAUAGCAACACAAAUUUUUCUUCUUGUUAGGAUUUGUGUGGUAUAUAAUUUUCCAUCCUUUUACUCUUCAACAUUUUCAUGCCUUUAUACUUUAAUUAUAUCUCUUGGGAAUAGCAUAUAGCUGGACCUUUUAAGAAGUCUGAUCUAAUGAUCUCUUUUUUAAUGAUGACUUUAGUCUGUUUACAUUUAUUGUGAUAUAUUUUGACUUGUUUCUACCACCAUACUUUUUAACCUCUAUUUCCUACUACCACCUUUUUGAUGCUUCAUUUUUCUCCUUUUUUUGCCUGCUUUUUUAGUUUUGAAAUUUGUUUGUUUUUUUGAUUAUUUUUUUCCUCCCUGCUCUUUGGAAUUUGCCUAUUUUUUCCCAUUCUUUCUGUGGUUAUCCUUGAAAUUUUACCAUGCAUGUUUAACUUACAAGGUUUAAAGUUGAACAGUAUUUUAACCUCCCUCUUGAAGAAUUCAGGAACCUUUGAAGCCUUCAACUCUAGUCAUUCAUAUCUUAACUACAUGUUAUUUUUUUGAGUAUGUUUGUUUGUUCCUUUUUCUCCCCUAACCUCACUAAUAUAACAUCAUUAGUAUAUUUUACAUAGAUAGUUGUGUUCGGAUUUACAUGCAUACAUUCCUGCAUCUCAGACAUCAUUCUGGGAUCAUUUUCUUUCAUUAUGAUUACAGUGUUUAACUGCUCUUACAGUACAUGUCUGUUGGUGUUAAAUUCUCCUAGUCAUUAUUAUAUGUGAAUUUAUUUAUUCUCAUUCUUAAAAGAUAGUUUGUUAUAGGUAAUAUUAGAAGUCCACUAUCUGUCUAAUUGCUAUUUUUUCUCUUUUCUUGGGGGUUGGAUAUUCAUGGGAUUCUGCAGUUUCAUUCUAUCAGUGUUUACAUAUGUUUUUCUUUUUUAUUAUCAUGCUUUGGAGAUGUUCUUCAUGCCUCUGGGUUUAUGUUUUUCAUAAUUUCUGGGAAAUUCUCAGCCUUGUCUCCAAAUAUUGCCUGUCUUCCAUUCUUUCUAUAUUUUCUUUCUCAGAAUUCAGUUGGUCAUAUUUUGGACCUCUUCAUUCUAUCUUCCAUAUCUCAUAAUGUCUCAUUGAUAUUUUCUAUUGUCUUGUCUUCCUGAACUUCAUUCUAGGCAAUUUCUUUAGCUAUGUCUUUUAGCUUAUUGAUUCUCUCUUCAACUCUGUCUGAUCUGCUGUUCAAUCUGUCCACUGAGUUUUUUAUUUCAAGAAUUAUAUUUUUCACUUAUACAAACUUCAUAUAUUUCACUUUCUAAUCUUCCCAGUCAUCCCUAAUAGUCUCUUGUUGCUUGCUCAUCUUUGUGAUUGCAUUUAUUAUUUCUUUAAACAUUUUAUACAAUUAUUAUUCAACCAGUAAUCAUUGUUUGUCUAAGUAUGGCGUUAUAAAUAUUGUUCACAUCCAACUACAUAUUACAGUUGGAUUACAUAUCCUUUGUUGUAUGCCUUUUUGUUUUCUUAGUAACUGGGUUUUUUUUUCUUUUGCCUAGUGUUCUAAUACCAUUACUAGUUCUUCUCUGAAAUUCUUUUUAAAAUUCAUAUCAGAUCAUGUCCCUCCUUUGCUCAAAAUUCUCCCAUAGCUCCCAGCUCCCUUAGAAUAAAAGCCAAAGCCCUCACCAUGGCCCAAAAGUCUUUACACAACCUGGUCCCCAUCACCUCUCUGAUCUUCCACUCUCCCCAUCACUCACUGUUCUCCAACCACAUUGUAUUCCUUAAGCAUGUCAGGUAUCUCCCCCCACCAACUUCAGAGCCUUUGUACUUGCUAGUCUCACAUCUAGAAUACUCUUCUUCCCAGAUAAUCUGAUGACUUACCCACCCACUUCCAGUAUGCUCAACUGUCACCUCCCUAGAGAAGCAUUCCCUGACUGACAUAUCUAAAAUAACCCCAUUCACCAGCACUUUCUAUCCCCUUAUCCUCCUCUAUGUUAUAUUUUUCUACAAAUCACUGAUGACCAACUGAUAUAUUAUAUUUAUUUACUAUGAUCAGUGUUUGUCUCUCCACAAUAGACUGUAAGCUGCACAAAGCAAGGACUGUUGUUUUGUCCAUAGUUGUCUCUCUAGUGUUAAGCAUAGUGCAUAGUCAUAUUAAAUGGACAUUCAAUAAAUAUUUUUGGAAUAAACUGAGUGAAUUAAUGAAUGAAUUAAUGUGGAGGAUAAAGGGAGAAAUGCAUUGAGAACUCAACUAGGCAUGAAGGCCUUUCGUGUCAUGCAAAGGAGCUUGAGUGUUAUUGUUCAGAAGGAUAGGGGCUGUAAAAAAGCAGUGAGGA